rnacentral:lncRNA from 1 species
GUUGUACUACAAAAUACGUAAAAAUCAGAGUGGGCCAUGGUUGGCACUCCCCUGGUAAGCCUGCAUAAUGUUUAGCCAGAAUAUCAUUUGUGGUUGAUUUAUUGAUGAAAAAGCAAGAAUGAAAUCUCAUGAUGUUCUGCCUUUCUCUAACAACAGGACAACUCUGAUGCAACUGAAUAGUCAUAUGAAGAACCAUAGUUGUACACUUUCUUCUUCAAGUACUUUUGUCCUUAUAAUGAUUUGCAUUUGCAUAGUGCUAUUGAGUGCUGCAAAAGAAUGGAUAUUGGUUUUGCCAGAAACUUUUGCACAUACUUAUCUUGGUAUUUGUGAAUUGUAAUAUCUCUUUGCAUAUUUGGACUGUUUCAAAUACUGGUAUUAGUUUUCAGUUUUUAUAUUUCA